rnacentral:rRNA from 1 species
UCGAGAAUUUUUCACAAUGGGGGAAACCCUGAUGGAGCGACGCCGCGUGGGGGAAGAAUGGCUUCGGCCCGUAAACCCCUGUCAUUUGCGAACAAACCCCGUCCCUGAACAAGGGGCGGGCUGAUAGUAGCAGAAGAGGAAGGGACGGCUAACUCUGUGCCAGCAGCCGCGGUAAGACAGAGGUCCCAAGCGUUGUUCGGAUUCACUGGGCGUAAAGGGUGCGUAGGCGGCAAGGUAAGUUUGUGGUGAAAUCUCCGGGCUUAACCCGGAAAAUGCCCUGAAUACUAUCUUGCUAGAGGAUCGGAGGGGAGACUGGAAUUCUCGGUGUAGCAGUGAAAUGCGUAGAUAUCGAGAGGAACACCAGUGGCGAAGGCGAGUCUCUGGACGAUACCUGACGCUG